ACUGGGUGUAGUAGUGCAGGCCUGUAAUCCUGGCAACUUGGGAGGCUGAGGCAGGAGGAUUGCAAGUUGAAGGGCAGCCUCAGCAAUUUAGUGAAGCCCUAAGAAACUUAGUGAGACCCUGUCUCAA
rnacentral:sRNA from 1 species